GUCUGGCAUGGUGGUAUGCCUGUAGUCCCAGCUACUCAGGAGGCUGAGGCAGGAGGAUUGCUUGAGCCCAGUAGUUCUGGGCUGUAGUGCACUAUGCCCUUCGGGUGUCCGCACUAAGUUCAGCAUCAUUAUGGUGACCUCCCAGGAGCGGGGGACCACCAGUUUGCCUAAGGAGGGGUGAACCAGCCCAGAUCAGAAAUGGGGCAGGUCAGAACUCCUGUGCUGAUCCAUUAUGGUUUAUUACAGGAUAUUAGAUAUAGUUCCCUGUGUUAUACAGUAGGACCUUGUUGUUU
ensembl:misc_RNA Metazoa_SRP Metazoan signal recognition particle RNA